rnacentral:rRNA from 1 species
AAUGAACGCUAGCGACACGCCUAACACAUGCAAGUUGAAUGAAAUAUUCAUAUUGAAUGUUUCAUAGCGAACGGGUGAGUAAUACAUAAGAACUUGCCUAACAGUCUGGGAUAAGUAUAUUGACAUUGCAAAAUGUUAAGAAUUAAGGUAUUUAUUUUAAAUAUCUUAAGUAUAAAUACCGGAUAAUAUAAAAGAUUAAUCGCUGUUAGAUAGGCUUAUGGAGGAAUAUGGUAGUUGGUAGGGUAAUGGCCUACCAAGCCUUUGAUCCUUAGCCGGUUUGAAAGAACGAUCGGCCACACUGGGACUGAGACACGGCCCAGACUCCUACGGGAGGCAGCAGUGAGGAAUAUUGGACAAUGGGCGAAAGCCUGAUCCAGCGAUGUCGCGUGAGUGAUGAAGGCUCUUUUGGUUGUAAAGCUCUUUCGUUGGGGAAGAUAAUGACGGUACUCAAAGAAGAAGCCCCGGCUAACUCCGUGCCAGCAGCCGCGGUAA